AAAGUCGUAACAAGGUUUCCGUAGGUGAACCUGCGGAAGGAUCAUUAACGAAUAAACCUGGCAGAUUGUAGCUGGCCCUUCCGAGGGUAUGUGCACAUCGGUCAUUUUUAUCUUUCCACCUGUGCACCUCAUGUAGACCUAGAGAAUUAGAGCUGCAAGCUUAUCAAUCUGGGGUAAAACUCAGUCGUGAGGAGUUGUAGGCGCUCUCGAGUGUGUCAGCUCUCCUUGUUGUAGCCUCUGUUCUCUGGGAUCUAUGCUUUCAUAUACACCAUUUGAAAUCAUCAGAAUGUAAUCAAUGGGUCGUUGUACCUAUAAAAACUAUACAACUUUCAGCAACGGAUCUCUUGGCUCUC
rnacentral:misc_RNA from 1 species